UAAAAUAUCAUAAUUUAUUGAUAAAUAAAAAUUUAUAUAUUCUUAAAAGAUUAUAGCAUUUAAUAUAUUAUUAUACAACAUAUAUAUGAUUUUACCUUGUUUAUUAUUAUUAUAAUAUUUAAAAUUUAAACAAUUAUUGCGGCUUCUAAGAAUUUAAGAUCAAAAUAGGGAACUCUCUCUCUUCUCUUUUAGAGAGAGGAUAUUUUCUCUAUCAUCCUUCUUAACCGUGAUAUAUCUUUCAGAAGUAAUAGAGAGAAAGAGAGAGAUUUUUCUUUUAGAUGUGUAUAUUUUUUAUCUUAGAUCGAAUCUAAACUUUCACUAGGCGAAUCAGUUUUCGUUAGGCGAGUUUAUUUUGCUGUGUUUAUUUCCUUUUGGCGAUCUUUUUGUUUUGUGCAUAAUCAGAUUUGUUCUUCAAAUUUUCUUUCUUUUUUUUUUUGGAUUGAACCAAAUAAAUCUGCUUUUUACUUGGAGUUUCGUUCUAAUCCCGUGUGAUUCCAAUACAGUUUCUUUUUUUUUCCACCGUUUAAUUCAACAGAUUUCUAGGAGAAUCAGACUUCUCUAUGUGUUUAGCCAUUUAUGGCGUUGUGAAGCAUCUCCAAAGGAAGAAGGUUGGGUUAGAUGGAUUCCCCGAUUCGUUAUUUGAAGUGGAUUAAGAAGAACAUGCGUUUUGUAACGAUCAUCGGUUGAAGUGGAAGUCAAACUAGGAGAGCGCAAGAUUGAAGGUCUAAAGCUCGAAGUUGUACGAAGUUACACCGGUGAUUCGAGCUUUCCAUCCCCUGUGGUGGCGCGUAUAGUUGCGUCUCUAGAAACUCGAGUUGAAUGAGAGAGAGGACGCAUGUCCUGGAAGUGUUGCAUGGAGGACGAAUGGACUGUGUGUACUAAGGCAUGUUCGAAACUACGCUAGGCGCUAGUCGGGCGGACGAUAUGAGCCUAGCGAGUUAACAAUUAAUGGGAGAUUAAUCGGGGCCUAGUUUUUAAUUUUUUUUUAUAAAUAUAUUAUGCAUCAUUAGUUAGUUUUCAUAACAAUAGACAAUUAGUUGAAGGAGCCUGGUGGUUUCAUAAUCUUUGCUCAGCGUAAGAACCCGGGUUCGACCCUGGAUCCAUGCGUUUUUCUUCUUCUUUUUCUUUUUUUUUGCCUUUAAUGAAGGGCACUAUCGUCAUUUCAUCUUCAUCUUCCCCAUCUGUCUUUAGGGUUUUCAAUUUUACAGUUUUUCCAUGGCCGUAAAACGUUUAUAAUCACACAUAUCAUCAGAUUUUGGUGCGUUUUUAUGUUUUUAUACUUAAAACCUAUAUAUUUGUCAUAAAAAUACAAGAUUUUAAGCAUUCAAAACCCAAAAAGAAAAAAAAUUUAUUGUUGCCGAUUAAUUGGCCGACUACAGCCAACUCGCCACGGCCAAGCACUGCCGAGCGCCUCUUCGCCGACUAAUCGUCCGUAGUACCCGCAUUUUCGAACAGGGGUACUAAGAGAUUAAUUGAACUAGUUCAAUGUGAGCUCAAUUUACGUUGGGCUUUUAUUUUCAAGUUUUGUAAUGGGAUGGGAUUGGAGCUUUUAAUUUCCUUGUACUCUUUGGGAUUUCUUUCAAUAAAAUGAAAGAAAAGUUGACAAAAAAAAUUUAGGGAAUUUGCGGUAGAUGGCUAUAAAACAAACUAUAAUUAGCUAUAUAGCAAUGGUAUUGUUUCUUUUUCAUAAUACCCGUUAUAUCCCUGUUUCUUUGUCUGCCAACUUGUACUCUAGUAACCGGAAGACCUGCAUCUUGAUAAAUAUAUUUUAUUUUUAAUAAAUUAACAGAUAAUAAAAGAAAAGGACAAAAAUAAAAUCUCCCCAUCACCUUCUUCGUUAUUCUCUACCUCUUUCCAUCUCUCACUGAUUUGAUCUUCUUCUUCUUCUUAUUUUCAGUUGAAGUUUUAAUUAAUCAUAUCAUAUCAUUUCAAGUUUCUUUGACUUCGAUAUUGAAAAGAACACAAACUGAUCCCCAAAUCUCCAGAAAAUUUCUGACCAACAAAACUCAUAAAAUUUUCAACAAAUCCUUUCUUCUUCUCUGCUUCUUCUUCACCACAACGUCCUUCACCCACCAAGUCACCACCAGCCAACUUUCCCGAACUCGAGCCCAACUCAGUGAGUCGACUCGACGCGACCGAGUUUACUCAAAUGGAUGGUUUUCCCGAUCGCUUCCUCCGGUCUUUCUUCCUCUUCUUCAUCUCCAAGCUGUCUUCCAAGGCGCCGAUGAUCUCGUGAAGGAGUUUGCUAAUCCUACCUAACCCAGUAACUCGUGUAGCUGCUGAAGAAAUCACCGAGAUAGAGAGGAGAGUGAUGAUCAUCUUCUUUGGGUUUUUCUUUCUUGAAGCGAGAGAUACGAUUUGGGUCACCGGAAUGGGAGAUGAGGUAAGCAAGAACUUCACGGUCAUCCAUUGAGGUUUUCUGUCCAUCCUUGAGUAAAUAUCUCAUUGCUUUUAUGAUUUUGGUUUUAUUAACUUUGUGUCCUAAUGCAUAAAAGUCUCACCUUUGUGAUUCUUGAUUCUCAGUUCUUGUUUGAUUGUGCUUAUCAAAGUUUGGAUUUUUUUUUCUUUCUUAAUCUUAUGUACAAGAAUAAGUGAAUAUUGGCACAACAAGACAACAACAUUUCUUUUAA